rnacentral:lncRNA from 10 species
GAGCCGCACAUCCCGCACCCCCUGUCGAAACGGUGGAGUCGCUCGCCCGCGGGUCCUCAGCGAGUCAGUGGCGCAGUCGGGAUUCGAACCGGGCCCAAGGCGUCCCGUGGCACCGGGCGUUCUCCAGGCGUGCAGCGCCGAGCGGUGUACUGAGCGCUGUCCCCCGCCACCGUCUCGCGGCCCCUGACCGCAUUCUCGGGGUGUCUCCUUGUGGUGUGACACCCCACGCGUUUUGUAGGCGCGGACCUCGGGCCCAGAGAACGGGGAGAGGAACUGUUCCCGGGUUUACCACGUAGCUCAGCGCCAGCGUCCGAUCCGGCCGGCUUUCCAAGCUCCCGGCGCGGGGCACUGUCCGCUCCCCGCCAGCGGGCGAGGGGCUUCUCUUAGGACGGCGUUGCACACGUUUCAGUCUCGCGUUGCACCUUUAUGUCCGUGGACCAUCUGUACUGCUAUUUACCAAAUGUUACAUUUUUUAAAAAAUUCAAACUGACUCUUUUUUUCUCCUUAAAUAUAUUUAAGGCGGCAACUUCAAUCACAAACCGGGUACUGGAAAGCCAGUUAUUUUUCUAAUGCUUAUAAAAAAAAUAAAUAUCUGUCUGUUGAAAUAAACAGUGCGUCCUUGUUCCUCCUGAAAUUAUUCUGCGUUCCACACUUUGGGAAACGCUGCCCGAGGAGUAGCUGAUUAAUUGUGGUUCUUCUGGCUUGCACUCUGUGCACAGAAUUUUUCCUGAGGCAAAGCAGAUUCUAUGAAUGCCCUGGGCUCUUCAGGGAUAAUGUAACAGCUUUCUUGUAAACUGUUCUCUUUGUUGACUUAAAAGUGUUAGUCCCAGGGAACUGCAAGAACUGUGUUCACUCAGGUGCACCCGGUGUGCCUGAAUUUUCUUACAGCGUUGUGAUGUCGUAGCCCCCUGUUGGCUCAUAAAAAGAUGUUUCUACAAAUGCUGGGGAAGCUUUUGUGAGUUUUGACAACUCUUAAUUUAAUGUUUUCUCUAUGAGUCAGUCUGGGUGUGAAAACUAACUUUGUGUCUACUUUUUGCAACC